rnacentral:rRNA from 1 species
CAGCCGUAAACUAUGCGCGUUAGGUGUAUCGGUGACCACGAGUUACCGAGGUGCCGAAGGGAAACCGUGAAACGUGCCGCCUGGGAAGUACGGUCGCAAGGCUGAAACUUAAAGGAAUUGGCGGGGGAGCACCACAACAGGUGGAGCCUGCGGUUUAAUUGGACUCAACGCCGGGAAGCUCACCGGAUAGGACAGCAGAAUGAUUGCCGGGCUGAAGACUCUACUUGAUGAUCUGAGAGGUGGUGCAUGGCGUCAGUGACU